rnacentral:lncRNA from 1 species
GCCUCCUCUCCCUGUGCCCUUCUCUUUUCUUUCCCUCGCCCCUAUUCUCUCCCCCCCUUCCUCCUUUUUCUUUCUUACGUGUUGUCUUGGCAAACCUUGUGUCCAUGGUAAUAGUAGUUUCGCCAUCAUAAAUAUUUGGUGGUUUGAGGCAACAUGUUCAUGUUGAAAAUAUUUUUUUCUAUCACACAUAUUACCAUCUCAUCUCUCUUUAGCUCCAUGACUUGUGGCAAUGGCUUGAUGAUUGGAGAUUUCUCGUGGUCACCAUUAUUUAUAUAAUGGCUAGAUAAUGACCUACUAACACAACCUAUUAGAUCAGCCCAAUUAGAAGAUUCUAAACCUCAACCUAAACCAACCUUAUCCCUCUCUCUCUGUGUUUCUUUUGGUUCACACGUUUGCCUACCGCUACUCAUGGUCACUUUUCUCUCAUAAUUCUCUCUUCAAUCUACCAUUUCUC